CCCUUAGAUGUUCUGGGCUGCACGCGCGCUACACUGAUGCGUUCAACGAGUGUAUCACCUUGCCCGAUAGGGUUGGGUAAUCUUUUGAACACGCAUCGUGAUGGGGAUAGAUUAUUGCAAUUAUUAAUCUUCAACGAGGAAUUCCUAGUAAUGAUGAAUCAUCAGUUCAUCGUGAUUACGUCCCUGCCCUUUGUACACACCGCCCGUCGCUGCCCGGGACUGAGCCGUUUCGAGAAAAGCGGGGACUGCUGCUGUCGGGGCUUUCGGGCCUUGGCUUCGGUGGAAACCGCUUUAAUCGCAGUGGCUUGAACCGGGCAAAAGUCGUAACA
rnacentral:rRNA from 1 species